AGAGUUUGAUCCUGGCUCAGGAUGAACGCUAGCUACAGGCUUAACACAUGCAAGUCGAGGGGCAGCAUGGUCUUAGCUUGCUAAGGCCGAUGGCGACCGGCGCACGGGUGAGUAACGCGUAUGCAACCUACCUAUCAGAGGGGAAUAACCCGGCGAAAGUCGGACUAAUACCGCAUAAAACAGGGGUUCCACAUGGAAAUAUUUGUUAAAGAUUUAUCGCUGAUAGAUGGGCAUGCGUUCCAUUAGAUAGUUGGUGAGGUAACGGCUCACCAAGUCUACGAUGGAUAGGGGUUCUGAGAGGAAGGUCCCCCACACUGGUACUGAGACACGGACCAG
rnacentral:rRNA from 1 species